rnacentral:rRNA from 1 species
GAUGAACGCUGGCGGCGUGCCUAAUACAUGCAAGUCGAGCGAACGGACGAGAAGCUUGCUUCUCUGAUGUUAGCGGCGGACGGGUGAGUAACACGUGGAUAACCUACCUAUAAGACUGGGAUAACUUCGGGAAACCGGAGCUAAUACCGGAUAAUAUUUUGAACCGCAUGGUUCAAAAGUGAAAGACGGUCUUGCUGUCACUUAUAGAUGGAUCCGCGCUGCAUUAGCUAGUUGGUAAGGUAACGGCUUACCAAGGCAACGAUGCAUAGCCGACCUGAGAGAGUGAUCGGCCACACUGGAGCUGAGACACGGUCCAGACUCCUACGGGAGGCAGCAGUAGGGAAUCUUCCGCAAUGGGCGAAAGCCUGACGGAGCAACGCGGCGUGAGUGAUGAAGGUCUUCGGAUCGUAAAACUCUGUUAUUAGGGAAGAACAUAUGUGUAAGUAACUGUGCACAUCUUGACGGUACCUAAUCAGAAAGCAACGGCUAACUACGUG